AUGUGCAUCGACUAUCGCCAUCUUAAUGAGAUGACUCGCGUCAGUAAAUUCCCGGUGCCUGUCAUUGAGGAAUUGCUGGAUGAGCUACAUGGCGCGCAUUGGUUCUCCAAAUUGGACCUUCGCGGGGGGUACCACCAGAUCAGGCUGGCCGAAGGCGAGGAUUUCAAAACAGCCUUUCAAACUCACUUGGGCAACUAUGAAUUUAAAGUGCUGUCCUAUGGCCUCGCGGGAGGGCUGGGUACUUUUAAUGGAGCAAUGACAGACACACUGCACCCCCUUUUGAGGUUCUGCGUACUGGUUUUCUUCGACGACAUCCUAGUGUUCAGUAAAACUUGGGAAGAACACUUGGACCACGUACGCCAGGUCCUCACCUUGCUGCAUCGCGACCAAUGGAAGGUCAAGAAAUCUAAGUGUGAAUUUGGGCAACAACAACUGUCUUACCUGGGGCACAUCAUCAGCUGUCAGGGAGUAGCUACUGAUCCGAGUAAGAUCCAAGCAGUUGAAUCAUGGCAAACACCUAGUGAUGCAAAAGAAGUGCACAGAUUUCUGGGAUUGGCUGGGUAUUACCGCAGAUUCGUGCGAGGAUUCGGCAUCAUCGCCCGGCCCCUUUUCAACCUGCUCAAGAAGGGUGUGCCAUUCGUAUGGACCGACAACACCAACCAAGCUUUUCUGCUCCUGAAACAACAACUAGUUUCUGCACCAGUAUUGGCACUUCUAGAUUUCAGUAAACAGUUUGCUGUCGAAACAGAUGCUUGUGAUCGAGGCAUUGGGGAAGUCCUGCAACAGGAAGGACAUCCUAUUGCUUUCAUGAGCAAAGGCCUGAGCCCGCGUUACCAAAGGCUGUCCACAUACGAGAAAGAGUACCUUGCCAUUGUGGUGGCUGUUGACCAAUGGCGCCCUUACCUGCAACACAAAGAGUUCAUCAUCUAUACAGACCAAAAGAGUCUUAUCGACCUAGAAGAGCAACGUCUGACUACCCCAUGGCAGCAAUGA
rnacentral:rRNA from 1 species